AUGGCGGCGGCGGCGCUGCGGUCCCGGGGCGGCGGAGCGGUGAGAGGGGUCCUGGCGACGCUGCUGCGGCCCCGGCGUGGCUACAACAGCACCUUCCGGGUGAGCGGGGGGCCGGGACCCCCAAAAGCGCCCCGAAACCCCCCAGAUAGAGCCCCCAAAUCCCGCCGGGCCCCCCCAAAUGACGCCAAGCCCUCGCCAGGCCUCGGAGCUGGAGCUGGAGCGCUCGGGGGCCCCCGGCACCCCCCCAGCCCCCCAGGACCUGGUGUUCGGGAAGGUUUUCACCGACCACAUGCUGAUGGUGGAGUGGAGCCGGGACCGGGGCUGGGGGCGCCCCAAAAUCCGCCCCUUCCAGGAGCUGCGGCUGCACCCGGCCUCGUCCGCCCUGCACUACGCCGUGGAGGUCAGGGGAGCCAAAAACACCCCGAAAACGCCCCAAAAAUCACCCUAAAGUUACCCCAAAUCACCCCAAACAUGCCCCUAUGCCGUGGAGGUCAGAGGAGCCAAAACCGCCUCAGAAUAGCCCCAAAAAUCACCCUAAACUUGGGACCACGCCAUGGAAAUCAGGGGAACAAAAAACACCCUGGGAUCACCACAAAAAUCACCCCAAAUAACCCCAACCCUGCACUAUGCCACGGAGGUCAGGGGAGCAAAAAACACUCUGAAAACAUCCUAGAAUCACUCCAAAAAUCACUCCAAAUUACCCCAAACCCUGCACCAUGCCAUGGAGGCCAGCGGGACCCCAAAAACAUCCCUGGGAGCCCCAAAAUCACCCUAAAACCCCCUUGAGACCCCCUCAAAUCACUCCAGGACUCCUGGGACCCUCUGAAAACCCCCUGGUAGCCCCCUAAUGCACCCCAAAUCCCUCCUAGACCUCCCGGGACCCCUCAAAAUCCUCCCCAAACCCCCGGGACUCCCCUCUCCACAGCUCUUUGAGGGUCUCAAGGCUUUUCGGGGUGAUGACGACAAAAUUCGGCUUUUCCGCCCCGACCUGAACAUGGAGAGGAUGCAGAGAUCAGCCCGCAGGGUCUGCCUGCCCGUGAGUGGGGUGUCCCCCCGAAAAAUCCCCAAAUAACCCCAAAACCCCCUCAAAAUUACCGCCAAAAUGAUCCCAAAAUAACCCCAAGCCCACCCCAAAUAACUCCCAAAAUAACCCCCAAAAUUACCCCAAAAUUACCCCUUAACUCCCCCAGAAUAACCCCAAAAAUCUUCCCCUGGGGGGUCUCCCUGCCCGUUGAGUGGGAUGUCUCCUCCCCAAAAAAAUCCCAAAAUAAC
rnacentral:lncRNA from 1 species